rnacentral:rRNA from 1 species
CGUCCAGACUCCUACGGGAGGCAGCAGUGGGGGAUAUUGCACAAUGGGGGGAACCCUGAUGCAGCGACGCCGCGUGGGUGAGGAAGUACCCCGGUAUGUAAAGCCCUUUCGGCAGGGAAGAAAAUGACGGUACCUGGCGAAGAAGCCCCGGCUAACUACGUGCCAGCAGCCGCGGUAAUACGUAGGGAGCGAGCGUUGUCCGGAAUUACUGGGUGUAAAGGGAGCGUAGGCGGGGAUGCAAGUUGGGUGUCAAAACUACCGGCUCAACUGGUAGUCGCACUCAAAACUGCAGCUCUUGAGUGAAGUAGAGGCAGGCGGAAUUCCUAGUGUAGCGGUGAAAUGCGUAGAUAUUAGGAGGAACACCAGUGGCGAAGGCGGCCUGCUGGGCUUUUACUGACGCUGAGGCUCGAAAGUGUGGGGAGCAAACAGGAUUAGAUACCCCAGUAC